rnacentral:lncRNA from 11 species
GGGAAUUGUAGAAACCACUACUACCGCUUAACGACCUAGAAAUAUCCCUGAGACCAUUUUUUGAUAGAGAACAGAAGCACUCAUAGCUGCCAAACAGUGAGUCUUUGUACUGUUCUGGAGGAAGACAAGGAUGCAAAGAUGGAAAGAAAAGUCAAUUUUCACUCCUGAUUGAAGAUAGUGUGUGGAAGAAGAGGAAAGCCAGACAGGGAAACGUCUAGGGAUGGCUGGCCAUUCCCGAAGAUGGACCUUGCCAGGGUAGGUCGUAUUCCCACUAUUAAGGAUGCUUUCCC